ensembl:snRNA U6 U6 spliceosomal RNA
GUGCUCGCUUCAGCAGCACAUAAUACUAAAAUUGGAACGAUGCAGAGAUUAACAUGGCCUCUGCGCAAGGAUGACAAGCAAAUUUGUGAAUCAUUCCAUAUUUAA